rnacentral:rRNA from 1 species
CAGUCGCCGCGGGAAUACAGAGGGUGCAAGCGUUAAUCGGAAUUACUGGGCGUAAAGCGCGCGUAGGUGGUUUGUUAAGUUGGAUGUGAAAUCCCCGGGCUCAACCUGGGAACUGCAUCCAAAACUGGCAAGCUAGAGUAUGGUAGAGGGUGGUGGAAUUUCCUGUGUAGCGGUGAAAUGCGUAGAUAUAGGAAGGAACACCAGUGGCGAAGGCGACCACCUGGACUGAUACUGACACUGAGGUGCGAAAGCGUGGGGAGCAAACAGGAUUAGAUACCCCCGAAGUCCCUGUCUCUUAUAC